rnacentral:rRNA from 1 species
AUUGAACGCUGGCGGCAUGCCUUACACAUGCAAGUCGAACGGCAGCACGGGAGCAAUCCUGGUGGCGAGUGGCGAACGGGUGAGUAAUAUAUCGGAACGUGCCCAGUAGUGGGGGAUAGCCCGGCGAAAGCCGGAUUAAUACCGCAUACGACCUACGGGUGAAAGCAGGGGAUCGCAAGACCUUGCGUUAUUGGAGCGGCCGAUAUUAGAUUAGCUAGUUGGUGGGGUAAAAGCCUACCAAGGCGACGAUCUGUAGCUGGUCUGAGAGGACGACCAGCCACACUGGGACUGAGACACGGCCCAGACCCCUACGGGAGGCAGCAGUGGGGAAUUUUGGACAAUGGGCGCAAGCCUGAUCCAGCAAUGCCGCGUGCAGGAAGAAGGCCUUCGGGUUGUAAACUGCUUUUGUACGGAACGAAACGGUCCUGGUUAAUACCUGGGGCUAAUGACGGUACCGUAAGAAUAAGCACCGGCUAACUACGUGCCAGCCGCCGCAGUAAAAC